AUGCAAAGUAGUCCUUUGACCUGAGGCAUCACAGUUGUCUUGUGGUUAAGUCCUUGAUCUUUGAUUAUGUCAAAGUCACCCCCUAGGGGUGUCCACGGCAUCGUUGGGGUUAAGCCACUUAGCUAUGGAGACAAGUGAAUGCGCAACAAGGGAUCUCUAACCUUCAAAACAAAUACUCUCUGAUAUGAUAUGAUUUGGAAUCUCUGGCCAGAGUAUGAAUGAGAUUGGGGAAUGCGUUCCAAAUCACAUUCAAGGAAAUCAUAUAAGCAAACGAUUCACAUUGGAUAGUAGACAUGAGUAAAUAAACUAUCAUACCAAACAAUGUGGUCAAGAGUAUUAGAUUAGAGAAGGACCGUAUUGCAUUUGUAAUCCCGAACUGAAUAGGUUCUCUAACCUCUUCUGAUUAGCUUGGGUAACCAUGACAUGCUGCUAGGCGUCAACCAUGGUUUGUGGAAGCCCUAUACGUGUAUAACCACUAAAGGGAGAAUUGAAAAUUGUUUCAAUUCACAAUCGAUGUAAAAUUGUUUUAAUCGCCCACUGCCUCG
rnacentral:sRNA from 1 species